rnacentral:rRNA from 1 species
GUGGGGAAUCUUCCACAAUGGACGAAAGUCUGAUGGAGCAACGCCGCGUGAGUGAAGAAGGUUUUCGAAUCGUAAAGCUCUGUUGUCAGGGACGAAUGUUGAGAUCGAGAAUAUUGGUUUCAAAUGACGGUACCUGACGAGGAAGCCACGGCUAACUACGUGCCAGCAGCCGCGGUAAUACGUAGGUGGCGAGCGUUGUCCGGAAUUAUUGGGCGUAAAGGGAGCGCAGGUGGGCUGUCAAGUCUGUCUUAAAAGUGCGGGGCUUAACCCCGUGAUGGGAUAGAAACUGGCAGUCUUGAGUGCAGGAGAGGAAAGCGGAAUUCCUAGUGUAGCGGUGAAAUGCGUAGAUAUUAGGAGGAACACCAGUGGCGAAGGCGGCUUUCUGGACUGUAACUGACACUGAGGCUCGAAAGCCAGGGGAGCGAACGGGAUUAGAAACCCCGGUAGUCC